GAGACUGUAGCAUAAUUGGUUAAUGCACUACGCUCAUAACGUACACAAUGAAGGGUUCGACUCCCUCUGGUCUUA
rfam:Serendipita vermifera MAFF 305830 unplaced genomic scaffold scaffold_217, whole genome shotgun sequence.